rnacentral:rRNA from 1 species
GUAUACGGAGGGUGCAAGCGUUACUCGGAAUCACUGGGCGUAAAGGGCGCGUAGGCGGAUUAUCAAGUCUCUUGUGAAAUCUAAUGGCUUAACCAUUAAACUGCUUGGGAAACUGAUAGUCUAGAGUGAGGGAGAGGCAGAUGGAAUUGGUGGUGUAGGGGUAAAAUCCGUAGAUAUCACCAAGAAUACCCAUUGCGAAGGCGAUCUGCUGGAACUCAACUGACGCUAAGGCGCGAAAGCGUGGGGAGCAAACAGGAUUAGAUACCCUGGUAGUCCACGCCCUAAACGAUGUACACUAGUUGUUGGGGUGCUAGUCAUCUCAGUAAUGCAGCUAACGCAUUAAGUGUACCGCCUGGGGAGUACGGUCGCAAGAUUAAAACUCAAAGGAAUAGACGGGGACCCGCACAAGCGGUGGAGCAUGUGGUUUAAUUCGAAGAUACGCGAAGAACCUUACCUGGGCUUGAUAUCCUAAGAACCUUAUAGAGAUAAGAGGGUGCUAGCUUGCUAGAACUUAGAGACAGGUGCUGCACGGCUGUCGUCAGCUCGUGUCGUGAGAUGUUGGGUUAAGUCCCGCAACGAGCGCAACCCACGUAUUUAGUUGCUAACGGUUCGGCCGAGCACUCUAAAUAGACUGCCUUCGUAAGGAGGAGGAAGGUGUGGACGACGUCAAGUCAUCAUGGCCCUUAUGCCCAGGGCGACACACGUGCUACAAUGGCAUAUACAAUGAGACGCAAUACCGCGAGGUGGAGCAAAUCUAUAAAAUAUGUCCCAGUUCGGAUUGUUCUCUGCAACUCGAGAGCAUGAAGCCGGAAUCGCUAGUAAUCGUA